rnacentral:rRNA from 1 species
CAGCAGCCACGGGAAUGCGUAGGUGGCAAGCGUUGUCCGGAAUUAUUGGGCGUAAAGGGCUCGCAGGCGGUUUCUUAAGUCUGAUGUGAAAGCCCCCGGCUCAACCGGGGAGGGUCAUUGGAAACUGGGAAACUUGAGUGCAGAAGAGGAGAGUGGAAUUCCACGUGUAGCGGUGAAAUGUGUAGAGAUGUGGAGGAACACCAGUGGCGAAGGCGACUCUCUGGUCUGUAACUGACGCUGAGGAGCGAAAGCGUGGGGAGCGAACAGGAUUAGAUACCCGCGUAGUCCCUGUCUCUUAUAC